GACGAACGCUGGCGGCGUGCUUAACACAUGCAAGUCGAACGCUGAAGCUCAGCUUUUGUUGGGUGGAUGAGUGGCGAACGGGUGAGUAACACGUGAGUAACCUGCCCCCUUCUUUGGGAUAACGCCCGGAAACGGGUGCUAAUACUUGAUAUUCACUGGUCUUCGCAUGGGGGUUGGUGGAAAGGGUUUUUCUGGUGGGGGAUGGGCUCGCGGCCUAUCAGCUUGUUGGUGGGGUGAUGGCCUACCAAGGCUUUGACGGGUAGCCGGCCUGGAAGGGUGACCGGGCAAAUGAGAAAUGGGAUAGGGCCCAGAGUCAGACGGGAGGGGGCAGUGGGGAAUAUUGGACGAUGGGCGGAAGCAUGAAGCAGCGACGCGGGGAGAGGGAUGGAGGACUUCGGGUUGUGAAACGCUUUCGGUAAGGGUAAAGACGUAACAAUGGUUGUGGUGAGGGUAGUGGGUAAAGAAGCGACGGCUAAAUACGUG
rnacentral:rRNA from 1 species